AUGAAUCUCAAGCAUAACACGAAGUUCCGGUCUACCCUCUCAUGGUGCUUUACAAAUAGCUAGUAAACCAUCUUUCGUAGUCACUCGAUAAUAUCGCGUGUACUACAAAAUACACUUAAACAUCGCAAUGAACACUCCAGCGUCACCAAGCAUCCGACGACAGUCAGCGAUGGCAAAUGGGUGUUCAAAAAUACCAUAAGGACAUAUGGGAUUGAUUACUUCACUAGGAGUACUUCCCAUAGGGGUCAGAGCUCUAAUUCGGUGUUCAGGCAGAAAACGAUGGGUUUGAAAAUACCAUAAGACCAUGUGGAAACCGAUUACUGCUCAAAGAGGAUGAUUUCACGUAGGAUUCAAAUCUCCAGAACACUGUUGAUACAGUCAUCUAUAGGUUUAACAAUACCAUAAAACCAUGUGAAACCGAUUACUGCUCAAGGGGUACUUUGCGUAUUCACCAGAUCGUCAGAAUAGUGCCCAGGCAACCAGCGAUGAUUUUACAAAAGCCAUGAUGAUGCCAUGUGAGGCCGAUAACUUUGCAAGGUCUAGUCGACGAGAAAACCUUACCUCCGGCUCCGAGUUCAAGUGGUCAUCGAAAACUUUCAAAGUGGCUAUUAACAGCUACACAAAUCAUACCCACGAUUGGUUGUAAACGAUUUCAAUAAC